GUGCUUGCUUCAGUAGCACAUAUACUAAAAGUGGAAUGAUACGAGAAGAUUACCAUGGCCCCUGCAGAAGGGUGGCGUGCAAAGUUGUGACGUCUCCAUUUUU